UACAGAGGGUGCAAGCGUUAAUCGGAAUUACUGGGCGUAAAGCGUGCGUAGUCGGUUAUCUAAGUCGGAUGUGAAAUCCCCGGGCUCAACCUGGGAAUUGCAUUCGAAACUGAAUAGCUAGAGUUCGGCAGAGGGAAGUGGAAUUUCCGGUGUAGCGGUGAAAUGCGUAGAUAUCGGAAGGAACAUCAGUGGCGAAAGCGACUUCCUGGACCAGAACUGACGAUCAGGCACGAAAGCGUGGGGAGCAAACAGG
rnacentral:rRNA from 1 species